UUGAACGCUGGCGGCAGGCCUAACACAUGCAAGUCGAGCGGAUGAAGGGAGCUUGCUCCUGGAUUCAGCGGCGGACGGGUGAGUAAUGCCUAGGAAUCUGCCUGGUAGUGGGGGAUAGCGUCCGGAAACGGGCGCUAAUACCGCAUACGUCCUGAGGGAGAAAGUGGGGGAUCUUCGGACCUCACGCUAUCAGAUGAGCCUAGGUCGGAUUAGCUAGUUGGUGGGGUAAAGGCCUACCAAGGCGACGAUCCGUAACUGGUCUGAGAGGAUGAUCAGUCACACUGGAACUGAGACACGGUCCAGACUCCUACGGGAGGCAGCAGUGGGGAAUAUUGGACAAUGGGCGAAAGCCUGAUCCAGCCAUGCCGCGUGUGUGAAGAAGGUCUUCGGAUCGUAAAGCACUUUAAGUUGGGAGGAAGGGCAGUAAGUUAAUACCUUGCUGUUUUGACGUUACCAACAGAAUAAGCACCGGCUAACUUCGUG
rnacentral:rRNA from 1 species